rnacentral:rRNA from 1 species
UACGGGGGGUGCAAGCGUUGUUCGGAAUCACUGGGUGUAAAGGGCAGGUAGGCGGGCCGAUAAGUCGGAUGUGAAAACCUCGUGGCUCAACCCGAGGCUGGCAUUCGAAACUGUCGGUCUUGAGUACGGGAGAGGAAGAUGGAAUUCCUGGUGUAACGGUGAAAUGUGUAGAUAUCAGGAGGAACACCGGUGGCGAAGGCGGUCUUCUGGCCCUCUACUGACGCUGAGCUGCGAAAGCUAGGGUAGCAAACAGG